CGAGCGAACAGAUAAGGAGCUUGCUCCUUUGACGUUAGCGGCGGACGGGUGAGUAACACGUGGGUAACCUACCUAUAAGACUGGGAUAACUUCGGGAAACCGGAGCUAAUACCGGAUAAUAUUUCGAACCGCAUGGUUCGAUAGUGAAAGAUGGCCCUGCUAUCACUUAUAGAUGGACCUGCGCCGUAUUAGCUAGUUGGUAAGGUAACGGCUUACCAAGGCAACGAUACGUAGCCGACCUGAGAGGGUGAUCGGCCACACUGGAACUGAGACACGGUCCAGACUCCUACGGGAGGCAGCAGUAGGGAAUCUUCCGCAAUGGGCGAAAGCCUGACGGAGCAACGCCGCGUGAGCGAUGAAGGUCUUCGGAUCGUAAAACUCUGUUAUUAGGGAAGAACAAACGUGUAAGUAACUGUGCACGUCUUGACGGUACCUAAUCAGAAAGCCACGGCUAACUACGUGCCAGCAGCCGCGGUAAUACGUAGGUGGCAAGCGUUAUCCGGAAUUAUUGGGCGUAAAGCGCGCGUAGGCGGUUUUUUAAGUCUGAUGUGAAAGCCCACGGCUCAACCGUGGAGGGUCAUUGGAAACUGGGAAACUUGAGUGCAGAAGAGGAAAGUGGAAUUCCAUGUGUAGCGGUGAAAUGCGCAGAGAUAUGGAGGAACACCAGUGGCGAAGGCG
rnacentral:rRNA from 1 species